rnacentral:snoRNA from 1 species
CCUUCACUGAUGAUUCACUCCAUGACUUUCGUUCUCCUGAGCUUUGCUGAAGCAACGCUUUUUGUAUCUGAGGAGG